GGGUAUAUACACAGAGGACAGAAUGCAAAUGACAUGAAUGGGAGGGAUUGACAGGAGAACUAGUUCUUCAACCCUGCCCCGGGGCAAACAGCCUUUGAAUGCAUGCUGCCUGCUUAAGUGCCCAUUUACAGCAGCUGCUGCUGCUGUCUGCAUCUGCCUGUUUGCAGCAGCUGCUACCUUCUGCACCCAGAGAAGCCUGGAGAAGACAAGCCUCCCCCGACAUCCAAAAUGCUUUCAAAAUUCACAGUUGUUUUGAGUCAUCGUCUCUUAUACACGAGGCUGGCCUGGAUUCCAAUCACUGCCUCCGAUGACUGCACUCCUCAUGUUCCUGCU